rnacentral:tRNA from 1 species
UAAAAAGUUAGUUUAUAAAAAUAUGAGCUUGUCAUGUUCAAGAUGCUAAUGUUUUAGUGCUUUUU